UACGUAGGGGGCAAGCGUUGUCCGGAUUUACUGGGCGUAAAGCGCGUGUAGGCGGCCACGCAGGUCCGUUGUGAAAACUGGAGGCUCAACCUCCAGACGUCGACGGAAACCGUGCGGCUAGAGUCCGGAAGAGGAGAGUGGAAUUCCUGGUGUAGCGGUGAAAUGCGCAGAUAUCAAGCGGAACACCGGUGGCGAAGGCGGCCUUCUGGACAGUGACUGACGCUGAGACGCGAAAGCGUGGGGAGCAAACAGG
rnacentral:rRNA from 1 species